UAACGACUCUCGGCAACGGAUAUCUCGGCUCUCGCAUCGAUGAAGAACGYAGCGAAAUGCGAUACUUGGUGUGAAUUGCAGAAUCCCGUGAACCAUCGAGUCUUUGAACGCAAGUUGCGCCCGAAGCCGUUAGGUUGAGGGCACGCCUGCCUGGGCGUCACGC
rnacentral:rRNA from 1 species